GAGAAUACUGUAAGCAUGAAAAAUUAAAAUAUAUGCCAUCAUGCUGGCCGCAAAAUGUGCUAAAAAUGUCCCCACGUUAAUUUUUUUCGUAUACUUAGUAUUUACGGUAAAAGCAUUGACCAGUAACUGUGUGAGCACCCUGCGUAAAACGACUAAGCACUAAGUACACUUUGACUUUAGCUAUUUUCAACCCUUUUCAACAAUAACUCUUUACAACAAGAUAAACUGAGAAUAUUUGCACCUCAUGUUACUAUAAGUUAUUAACAUCGUUGAAAGUUUAAGUAUUUAAAGUAAGUAAGUAAGGUUAAGUAAGUAAGGUUAAGUAUUUACAUUGUGUUCAAAAUGUACGUAGAAUUACAUCAGCAAACCGUGGGAUCAACAAUUCUAGCAUCAAGUUUUCGCAUUUUCAAAUCCUCUUUUGGUAUUGGAUGUGCACAUCCUAAAGCGAUACUAACCUCUUCGGCGAUCAUCCAUACAGUGACUCGCCGAUUUGAUAACACAAGUUUUCGAACCCAUAGAAUGUUCUCAUCGAUUUGCAAGGAUGCAAUCCUGCUUUUCUUUCGCACGUUGCACAAAAAAAGUGGGACUGAAAAAUGCAGUGUUGGACUCGACAAAGGAGCUCCUGAGAUAAAAACUGAUGUCGAGUCACACUCGACAUAGGAGUGCAAAGGGUUAAUUUACCAAACGAGUAAUUUACCACAGAACGAUAAACUUUCUAAUGUGGAAUUUGAAAAAAGUUAGUUACAAAAGCCAAUGUUACUACCUAGUAA
rnacentral:lncRNA from 11 species